rnacentral:rRNA from 1 species
UACGUAGGGGGCAAGCGUUGUCCGGAAUUAUUGGGCGUAAAGAGCGCGUAGGCGGUCCGAUAAGUCGGCUGUGAAAGUCAGGGGCUCAACCCUUGAAAGCCGGCCGAUACUGUCGGACUAGAGUCCGGAAGAGGCAAGUGGAAUUCCCGGUGUAGCGGUGAAAUGCGCAGAUAUCGGGAGGAACACCGGUGGCGAAGGCGGGUCUCUGGGCAGUAACUGACGCUGAGGAGCGAAAGCGUGGGGAGCGAACAGG